CCAGCAUAUCUCUGAAUGUUGUCGCUCAAAAAUUGUGUGCGAUAUGUCAAAUGAAAGGUAUUGACGAUACGAAUCAGCAUAUUUCAGUUAUAUAAAAAUCGGGUUUGUCGAUCAGCAGCUAUUGGCGAGAAAGCAAGCAAAAUAGCGUGUUUUGAAUGUUUUGCAGUAGUUUUUCACGAACAUCUCUAGAUGUUUUGACUCAAGAAGGGUGUGUGAUGUGUCAAAUGAAAGGUAUUGACUAGACGAGACAAAACAUUCAAUUUUUAAGAAAAUCGGAUUUGUACAUACAACAGAAGCUAUUGUUGAGAAAUCAAUAAAAACUGCAUAUUUUCCUACUUUUCCUAUUUUCCC